rnacentral:rRNA from 1 species
AUGCGUGCUCCAUUUGUUCUUGGCGGCGGUGACUCUGGCCUGUUGGAGAUGGAUGGCACACUCAGCAUCCAUAGCCUUGAUGAUGACACCGAAAUAGUUAAUAUAUGGGUGUUGCAGGAUUACAGAAGCGAGGUUUGGGAUUUGAAGUACCGAAUCAAAUUGCCAGCUGCAGAAAUCAGGGAGCAGUUUGAAGACAGUGCUGAAAGUUGGGAUUUGGACGUUGUUUCGCAGGAUGGUGACGUCUUCUUGCUGGUCAAUUUUGGUGGGUGGCUGGUUCGCGUCGACAGUGAUGGCAAAUUGAUUGACAGUUUCAGUUAUGGUGAUAGAGAACUGUGGAUGUAUGAGUAUCGGCUCAAACAAAGUCUUGUCCAGCAUACCUCGUUUCCUCGCCUUUGA